rnacentral:misc_RNA from 1 species
UCUCCGUAGGUGAACCUGCGGAGGGAUCAUUACAGAGUUCAUGCCCUACCGGGUAGAUCUCCCACCCUAUGUUAUUAUUACUUUGUUGCUUUGGCGGGCCGUUAGGCUCCGGCCCGACUACCGGCCCCGGCUGGUAAGCACCCGUCAGAGGACCCAAAACCCUGAAUAUUAGUGUCGUAUGAGUACUAUAUACUAGUUAAAACUUUCAACAACGGAUCUCUUGGUUCUG